UACGGGAGGCAGCAGCAGGGAAUAUUGUGCAAUGAGCGAAAGCUUGACACAGCGACACCGCGUGUGGGAUGACGGUUCUAGGAUUGUAAACCACUUUCAGGAGGGAAGAAAAUGACGGUACCUCCACAAGAAGACCCGGCCAACUAUGUGCCAGCAGCCGCGGUAAUACAUAGGGGUCAAGCGUUGUCCGGAUUUAUUGGGCGUAAAGAGCUCGUAGGCGGUUCAACAAGUCGGUCGUAAAAGUUUAGGGCUCAACCCUAAAAUGUCGAUCGAUACUGUUGUGACUAGGAUACGGUAGAGGUGAAUGGAAUUCCGAGUGUAGCGGUGAAAUGCGUAGAUAUUCGGAGGAACACCAAUUGCGAAGGCAGUUCACUGGACCGUGAUCGACGCUGAGGAGCGAAAGCUAGGGGAGCAAACAGGAUUAGAUACCCUGGUAGUCCUAGCUGUAAACGAUGGAUACUAGAUGUAGGAACUGGAUUGACGGUUUCUGUAUCGUAGCUAACGCGUUAAGUAUCCCGCCUGGGGAGUACGGUCGCAAGACUAAAACUCAAAGGAAUUGACGG
rnacentral:rRNA from 1 species